AUUGAACGCUGGCGGCAUGCUCUACACAUGCAAGUCGAACGGUAACAGGCCGCAAGGUGCUGACGAGUGGCGAACGGGUGAGUAAUGCAUUGGAACGUGCCCAGUCGUGGGGGAUAACUACUCGAAAGAGUAGCUAAUACCGCAUACGAUCUAUGGAUGAAAGCGGGGGACCGUAAGGCCUCGCGCGAUUGGAGCGGCCGAUGUCAGAUUAGGUAGUUGGUGGGGUAAAGGCUCACCAAGCCAACGAUCUGUAGCUGGUCUGAGAGGACGACCAGCCACACUGGGACUGAGACACGGCCCAGACUCCUACGGGAGGCAGCAGUGGGGAAUUUUGGACAAUGGGCGCAAGCCUGAUCCAGCAAUGCCGCGUGCAGGAAGAAGGCCUUCGGGUUGUAAACUGCUUUUGUACGGAACGAAACGGCUCUGGUUAAUACCCGGGGCUAAUGACGGUACCGUAAGAAUAAGCACCGGGUAACUACGUG
rnacentral:rRNA from 1 species